UACGGGGGGGCAAGCGUUGUUCGGAAUUACUGGGCGUAAAGGGCUCGUCGGCGGCCAACUAAGUCAGACGUGAAAUCCCUCGGCUCAACCAAGGAAGUGCAUCCGAAACUGCCGUGCUUGAGUACUAAAGAGGAUCGCGGAAUUCCCGGUGUAGAGGUGAAAUUCGUAGAUAUCGGGAGGAACACCAGUGGCGAAGGCGGGUCUCUGGGCCGAUACUGACGCUGAGGAGCGAAAGCGUGGGGAGCGAACAGG
rnacentral:rRNA from 1 species